rnacentral:rRNA from 1 species
UUGCUGACGAGUGGCGGACGGGUGAGUAAUGUCUGGGAAACUGCCUGAUGGAGGGGGAUAACUACUGGAAACGGUAGCUAAUACCGCAUAACGUCGCAAGACCAAAGAGGGGGACCUUAGGGCCUCUUGCCAUCGGAUGUGCCCAGAUGGGAUUAGCUAGUAGGUGGGGUAACGGCUCACCUAGGCGACGAUCCCUAGCUGGUCUGAGAGGAUGACCAGCCACACUGGAACUGAGACACGGUCCAGACUCCUACGGGAGGCAGCAGUGGGGAAUAUUGCACAAUGGGCGCAAGCCUGAUGCAGCCAUGCCGCGUGUAUGAAGAAGGCCUUCGGGUUGUAAAGUACUUUCAGCGGGGAGGAAGGGAGUAAAGUUAAUACCUUUGCUCAUUGACGUUACCCGCAGAAGAAGCACCGGCUAACUCCGUGCCAGCAGCCGCGGUAAUACGGAGGGUGCAAGCGUUAAUCGGAAUUACUGGGCGUAAAGCGCACGCAGGCGGUUUGUUAAGUCAGAUGUGAAAUCCCCGGGCUCAACCUGGGAACUGCAUCUGAUACUGGCAAGCUUGAGUCUCGUAGAGGGGGGUAGAAUUCCAGGUGUAGCGGUGAAAUGCGUAGAGAUCUGGAGGAAUACCGGUGGCGAAGGCGGCCCCCUGGACGAAGACUGACGCUCAGGUGCGAAAGCGUGGGGAGCAAACAGGAUU